rnacentral:rRNA from 1 species
AUUGAACGCUGGCGGCAGGCCUAACACAUGCAAGUCGAACGAGUGGCGGACGGGUGAGUCAUGUCUGGGAAACUGCCUGAUGGAGGGGGAUAACUACUGGAAACGGUAGCUAAUACCGCAUACCAUCGGAUGUGCCCAGAUGGGAUGAGCUAGUAGGUGGGGUAACGGUUCACCUAGGCGACGAUCCCUAGCUGGUCUGAGAGGAUGACCAGCCACACUGGAACUGAGACACGGUCCAGACUCCUACGUGAGGCAGCAGUGGGGAAUAUUGGGCAAUGGGCGAAAGCCUGAUCCAGCCAUGCCGCGUGUGUGAAGAAGGUCUUCGGAUUGUGAAGCACUUUAAGUUGGGAAGCGUUACCAACAGAAUAAGCACCGGCUAACUUCGUGCCAGCAGCCGCGGUAAUUC